ACGAGAAUAUUCGACAAUGGGCGAAAGCCUGAUCGAGCGACGCCGCGUGGAGGAUGAAGUGCUUCGGCAUGUAAACUCCUUUUGCCAGGGAAAAAGUUUAUUGAUUGUACCUGGAGAAUAAGAGGUUGCUAAACUCGUGCCAGCAGCAGCGGUAAUACGAGUGCCUCGAGCGUUAUCCGGAAUCAUUGGGCGUAAAGGGUGCGUAGGCGGCGAUGUUAGUCUCCUGUAAAAUUCCUCGGCUCAACCGGGGGCGCGCGGGAGAUACGGCAUUGCUAGAGGAUGGUAGGGGUCUCUGGAACUCAUGGUGUAGCGGUGAAAUGCGUUGAUAUCAUGGGGAACACCGAAAGCGAAGGCAAGAGACUGGACCACUCCUGACGCUGAAGCACGAAAGCGUGGGUCGCGAAUGGGAUUAGAUACCCCCGUAGUCC
rnacentral:rRNA from 1 species